rnacentral:misc_RNA from 1 species
GAUGAAGAACGUAGCGAAAUGCGAUAAGUAAUGUGAAUUGCAGAAUUCAGUGAAUCAUCGAAUCUUUGAACGCACAUUGCGCCCGCCAGUAUUCUGGCGGGCAUGCCUGUUCGAGCGUCAUUUCACCACUCAAGCCUCGCUUGGUAUUGGGCAACGCGGUCCGCCGCGUGCCUCAAAUCGACCGGCUGGGUCUUCUGUCCCCUAAGCGUUGUGGAAACUAUUCGCUAAAGGGUGUUCGGGAGGCUACGCCGUAAAACAACCCCAUUUCUAAGGUUGACCUCGGAUCAGGUAGGGAUACCCGCUGAACUUAAGCAUAUCAAUAAGCGGAGGA